rnacentral:rRNA from 1 species
UACAGAGGUCUCAAGCGUUGUUCGGAUUCAUUGGGCGUAAAGGGUGCGUAGGCGGCGCGGUAAGUCGGGUGUGAAAUCUCUGGGCUCAACCCAGAGACUGCUUCCGAAACUGCUGUGCUUGAGUGUGAGAGAGGCUCGUGGAAUUGCAGGUGUAGCGGUGAAAUGCGUAGAUAUCUGCAGGAACACCCGUGGCGAAAGCGGCGAGCUGGAUCACUACUGACGCUGAGGAACGAAAGCUAGGGGAGCAAACAGG